GACAGAGGGUGCAAACGUUGCUCGGAAUCACUGGGCGUAAAGGGCGUGUAGGCGGGAAGGAAAGUCAGAUGUGAAAUCCCUGGGCUCAACCCAGGAACUGCAUUUGAAACUCCCUUUCUUGAGUACCGGAGAGGAAGGUGGAAUACCUGGUGUAGAGGUGAAAUUCGUAGAUAUUCGGAAGAACACCAGUGGCGAAGGCGGCUCACUGGACUGGUAUUGACGCUGAGGUGCGAAAGCGUGGGGAGCAAACAGG
rnacentral:rRNA from 1 species